rnacentral:rRNA from 1 species
CCUACGGGUGGCUGCAGUGGGGAAUAUUGCACAAUGGGGGAAACCCUGAUGCAGCAACGCCGCGUGAGUGAAGAAGUAUUUCGGUAUGUAAAGCUCUAUCAGCAGGGAAGAAGAUGACGGUACCUGAUUAAGAAGCCCCGGCUAACUACGUGCCAGCAGCCGCGGUCAUACGUAGGGGGCAAGCGUUAUCCGGAUUUACUGGGGGAAAGGGGGGCGAGACGGGAGUGGAAGUCUGGAGGUAAAGCCCGGGGCCCAACCCCGGAACUGCUCUGGAAAAUGGGCGGCUAGAGUACUGGAGGGGCAGGCGGAAUUCCUAGUGUAGCGGUGAAAUGCGUAGAUAUUAGGAGGAACACCAGUGGCGAAGGCGGCCUGCUGGACAGUAACUGACGUUGAGGCUCGAAAGCGUGGGGAGCAAACAGGAUUAGAUACCCUUGUAGUC